GAUGAACGCUGGCGGCGUGCCUAAUACAUGCAAGUCGAGCGAACAGAUGAGGAGCUUGCUCCUCUGACGUUAGCGGCGGACGGGUGAGUAACACGUGGAUAACCUACCUAUAAGACUGGGAUAACUUCGGGAAACCGGAGCUAAUACCGGAUAAUAUAUUGAACCGCAUGGUUCAAUAGUGAAAGACGGUUUUGCUGUCACUUAUAGAUGGAUCCGCGCCGCAUUAGCUAGUUGAUAAGGUAACGGCUUACCAAGGCAACGAUGCGUAGCCGACCUGAGAGGGUGAUCGGCCACACUGGAACUGAGACACGGUCCAGACUCCUACGGGAGGCAGCAGUAGGGAAUCUUCCGCAAUGGGCGAAAGCCUGACGGAGCAACGCCGCGUGAGUGAUGAAGGUCUUCGGAUCGUAAAACUCUGUUAUUAGGGAAGAACAAAUGUGUAGGUAACUAUGCACGUCUUGACGGUACCUAAUCAGAAAGCCACGGCUAACUACGUG
rnacentral:rRNA from 1 species